rnacentral:tRNA from 3 species
GGGCUCUUAGCUCAGUUGGUUAGAGCGCCCCGCUCAUAACGGGGUGGUCCGGGGUUCAAGUCCCUGAGAGCCCACCA